GACGAACGCUGGCGGCGUGCCUAAUACGUGCAAGUCGAGCGGACGGAUGGGAGCUUGCUCCCAGACCGUCAGCGGCGGACGGGUGAGUAACACGUGGGCAACCUGCCUGUAAGACUGGGAUAACUCCGGGAAACCGGGGCUAAUACCGGAUAACUCUUUCCCUCACAUGAGGGAAAGCUGAAAGAUGGCAUCUCGCUAUCACUUACAGAUGGGCCCGCGGCGCAUUAGCUAGUUGGUGAGGUAACGGCUCACCAAGGCGACGAUGCGUAGCCGACCUGAGAGGGUGAUCGGCCACACUGGGACUGAGACACGGCCCAGACUCCUACGGGAGGCAGCAGUAGGGAAUCUUCCGCAAUGGACGAAAGUCUGACGGAGCAACGCCGCGUGAGUGAUGAAGGUUUUCGGAUCGUAAAACUCUGUUGUCAGGGAAGAACAAGUACCGGAGUAACUGCCGGUACCUUGACGGUACCUGACCAGAAAGCCACGGCUAACUACGUG
rnacentral:rRNA from 1 species